rnacentral:rRNA from 1 species
GGAGGGGGCGAGCGUUAUUCGGAUUUACUGGGCGUAAAGCGCACGUAGGCGGCUAGGUAUGUCAAAGGUGAAAGCCCUCGACUCAACCGAGGAACUGCCUUUGAAACUGCUUGGCUUGAGUCCGGGAGAGGGGAGCGGAAUUCCCAGUGUAGCGGUGAAAUGCGUAGAUACUGGGAGGAACACCGGUGGCGAAGGCGGCUCCCUGGACCGGCACUGACGCUGAGGUGCGAAAGCGUGAGUAGCAAACAGGAUUAGAUACCCUGGUGGUCCACGCCGUAAACGAUGGGCACUAGGUGCAGCGGGUGUCGACCCCCCUGCUGUGCCGAAGCUAACGCACUAAGUGCCCCGCCUGGGGAUACGGUCGCAAGGCUG